rnacentral:rRNA from 1 species
GAUGAACGCUGGCGGCGUGCCUAAUACAUGCAAGUCGAGCGAACGGACGAGAAGCUUGCUUUUCUGAUGUUAGCGGCGGACGGGUGAGUAACACGUGGAUAACCUACCUAUAAGACUGGGAUAACUUCGGGAAACCGGAGCUAAUACCGGAUAAUAUUUUGAACCGCAUGGUUCAAAAGUGAAAGACGGUCUUGCUGUCACUUAUAGAUGGAUCCGCGCUGCAUUAGCUAGUUGGUAAGGUAACGGCUUACCAAGGCAACGAUGCAUAGCCGACCUGAGAGGGUGAUCGGCCACACUGGAACUUAGACACGGUCCAGACUCCUACGGGAGGCAGCAGUAGGGAAUCUUCCGCAAUGGGCGAAAGCCUGACGGAGCAACGCCGCGUGAGUGAUGAAGGUCUUCGGAUCGUAAAACUCUGUUAUUAGGGAAGAACAUAUGUGUAAGUAACUGUGCACAUCUUGACGGUACCUAAUCAGAAAGCCACGGCUAACUACGUG